AGAUGUGAGUGUGACCUGGCUGCAACAACUGUCACUCUAUUGAUCACCAGAGUUAACUGAGCUAUGCAGACAUCCCUUUCUCCAUCACCAAACCUUGUGUGCCCAUCCCAAAGCUGUACACUUGGUUGAAAAGAAUGAUCUUCCCUGCUAGAAGAGGACCAUUCUUCAAGAUA
rnacentral:snRNA from 1 species